GUUAGAUGGCAAAUUAACCCAUAUUAUUAGUAAAUAUUAUUUGAGUUUCAAUGUAGAUAAAUAAUCAGCAAUGAUAACAUAUGCAUAGCAUUCGUUUUUCGCCAGAAGGCCCAUUUUCGCAAGCAGCACUUGGCGCUAGUUUAUUCAGUUUGAGACAAUAGGCUUUACACUUAUUGGCAUCGCAUGGAUUACUUUUGUUUCGUAAAAUUUCACCACAUUUUCUGUCACCUUUUGCUGUCGAAAUCGUCGUUUCUCCUGUUAUUAUAAUAACUAAAAUAUAACCUUAGUUUUCAUAUUUAAAAUAAAAAAUCAAUUUUUGUAAAAUAUAUGUUUAGAGUUUUUAUGCAUAUUUAUAUUAAAAAAAUUGAAAGUCUAAAUAUCUUCUAUUUUAAUCUUUCAUUAUUCUUGAAAAAUCAUUAAACUCAAUAAUAUAGAAUUAAACAUAUAAUCUAUGUAGUUACCCUUAGUGAGUUUAUAUUUAUAAUUUAUUAUGUAAUUAAAAAUAAAAAAAAUAUUUUAAAAUAAUGAUAAUUCUUAUCUAUAUUGGGUUAUUAUCUGGAAAAUGAUAUUUAUAUUAUAAAAUUUAAUAUAUUAAGAUACAAAAAAAUCAAACAAAAAUAUUUGUAUAAAGAUAUUUUCUAAACUAUUUCUAAUAUAUGAGUGUUUUCCAUUUGUAUAAACAUAUAUAUUUUGAUGAAAAACUAGUAUAUAUAAAUAAUUUGAUUUUUAAACUUUUCGAGAACAUUUAAAUUAAUAAAAGAUAAACUAAUAAGUAUUUGUACAAAGAUUAUGCCCUUAUGUGCGGGUAAAACACCUAGUAUAAAAUAAAUGAUAGCAAAUAAAUUUAUUUUUUAAUGAUUAUUCAAUAUUAUUAAUAAAGCAAUAAAUGUAAAUACAAACCGAGCAGAAGAAUUGUGAGCAUAAAGAAACCAAUAAACCAAGGUUUGAAAGUAACUUUCAUCUUCGAUAAUGAAAUAAUGGUGUUUCAAAAAAAGACAAAGAAGUAUAUUUAUAACUGAAUCACAAAUUGAAACAUGUCUAAUUUAAGCAUACAUCUUUUUAAAUUCCGAUAUAAAAGGAUAUAGUUUGACCAAAAAAUUACAAUCACUGAUUUUUUAUUUAUUUAAUAAAAAAUUAACUUAUUUAUAUUUAACUUUAUUUAAAAUAUUUUUGAUAUGCAUAAACAAUCAUAUUCGUUUUACUCUUAGAUUCAGAAUUUAUGUAAUGUAUAUUUAGAAAAGAAACAUAAAGAUAAUUGAGAAAUUGCAAUUUGAUCUAAUCUUACAAUACUAAAAGGAGGAUAUGAGCUUCAUUGAACCUAUCCACGUAUGCAUGAAAAAUCAACCAAUGAGAAACAUUCUUUUUGCCACGCUACUUGCUUUGUCAACUAAAAAAUCAAAUUAGGCUUUCGUAGUUCCAAAAAUUUAACUCUGGCCCAAAUUUGCUUUAUCACUAGAAAUCCACCAUUCAUCCAAUCGCCUUCUUCGCCUCUCCACCUUCUUUUUCUUUUUAAUCAAAUUUAGCUUUUCCACCUUCUCUGAACCUCCUUUGGAACGUCACCUUUCCACAUUGAUAAAUCUUAAAGCCCCCUUAUUAUCUGAAACAAUAAAUGUCUAUUCAACUCUUGCCAUUCCCUAAAACUUAUAGCUACAUAUAUUUAUUUUCCAAAUCUCUGCGCUUCGACUAAUUCUCCACAACAAAAUCAUCAGGGAGUGGAGAUCAGUCGCAACUGUUCCUGCCGAUUUACAAUCUCAGGUUGGAUAGUUUUCAUAUAAAAGGGUCUAUUCUUCCGGAGAAGAAUCAAACGUUUCUUUUUCAGAGGUAGUACCACGAAAUUGGAGACUCAGUUUAAUUUUACGGCUUCAAAUUGCAGUCUGAGGUCCGGUGAACCUUAUUCAGUAAUGAUCUUCUUGCUAAGACAAUAUCCAUAUUAUAAUUUUGUUUGAUUUUGGGUUAUCUCUGUUCCUCAGGCCUGCUAUUUUCUUUAUGCUGAAAUAUUUGUUUUCCUGCGAUAUAUUGUUGUCUGAAAUAGAAAACUUCACGGAUGCGGUUGGGAGUCCAUUCUCCGUUUCGGCUGAAGUUUUGACCAAGGACUACGAUCCAGAAUCACUUAUUUGGAGCGAUGAUUGAAAUGCCACUCUGGCUCCAGCUUCGGUUUGGGAUAAACGUAAGAAGAAAUCUUUGUCUGAAAGGCUUAAUAUCUGAUAAGAAAGAUGCUCGAGAGAGACCCAAAUGAAGUCUUAAUGCUCAACAAGUCUUGCGUAAGUAGGAUUAUGAACUCCAUAGCUUAAGAAGAUAUGUAACUUAAUCUUGGUUUAUUUAGUUUUUUGUCAGGCCUUCCAUCGAUAAGGGACACACCGUCAUGAGUCGCUUGAAGAAGUUUUCAGCUAACCGUCUAUGAUAAACCAAAGUAACACAAACCAAAUUAUCAUAAUUGGAACUGUGUGAACGUUUUUUUUUUGGGAUUAGUCUUUGAUAUUGGAGUUUUAAUUAGUGUUUUUGUGAAAACAAGUGUUUGAUUUAAAGUUUAUUUAUUUUUUAUUCUGGAUCGAAUAGGUUUUUCACACAAUAUUUGUCCGGUCUCAUAUUUUCUUAACUAUUGUUUUUAGCUAUUAUAAUGUGCUAUGGUAUUUGUUUUAUAGUUUGCAGGAGGUGACGACACCGUUGGUUGGGUUCUUGGAUGUCUUGGAGAGUUUAACAAAGAAAAAACAUCACCAAUUACUCAUGUUGACAUUAUCACUCUCUGUCAAGGAGUUUUGGUUGGUUAAGUGAAUCAUUCUUCUCUCUUGUGUCAUCAUCACCAGUCUUUUAACAAAUUGCCUUUAGAGAUUGUUUUUUUUCCUCUUCAAAAAAUAGUGAUAUAUUGGUUUAAAAGCUAUCCUCAGUUGUGCAACCCACACUUUGGUAAAAUGCAUAACAACUGCAUCUUUGUAAACUCUCUUUAUUGAGCCAGUGAUCGAACAGUCCUUGCUAACAAAGGAACAUAAUGAGGUUUUAGAGUACCCACAAGUUAUCAACGUCAUGAAUGUGCUAUAUAUAUAUAUUUUAUUUACAAAUAUGAACAUAGGGCAAUUUGAUUUUUCCGGAAUGCUAUCUUUCAGCUGUUACUAUAAGAUGAAGCAAAAAUUUGAUCCCCAACAUGUCAAUGAGAUGUUUAAGAAUCAGUUUAUAUAGUUAUGAAUUAAGCAUUGGAGACUA